GAUACUCUGUUUUAAGCUCUUUGAAUAUUUAUUAUAAUGCUAGCAAAUGCCACACAAUGAAAGGCGAAUUAAAAAUGUAUGUUGCGUUGAAUUACUAAGAACUCUUUAAUUUGAGCAGAAUAUAUUAACUCAACGACUCUUAAUUAAGCAAGAGGAACACUGUGCUAAGUGGAAUUGUACUUCGCCAAAAAGAGAAGGAGAAAUAAACUAAAUUUCAAAUGCUGGCGUUAUUUUAGCUAAGGAAACGCUGAUCGAAUGCUAUGCUGACGUGUUCAAAUUCAUUUAAUGCAAAUCAAAAUUCAAUCGAAAAUCAAUUUUCAAAUGGCAAAUGUGCGAACGGAGUGUACUCUGAACUUGGGGGGUCUGCCAAAUGUCUCAAUUUUAGUAGCAAAAAUAAAGACAUUGGCCGACACAGUAUUGCAGCAAGCGAUCAAAACUUGUUUUAAGCUGCACGUUGCACGUUGCACGAUGUCGAUGCCGCUUUUCACAAGAGAUGAGUUCAGACGAGAGACGAGAAUUGGGCGCGGCACUAAAAUGAGAAAGAUGCCGAAAUGCUAAAAGUGUCCAUUAAGCUGACCAUCAGCAUUGCCGUCGACAUCGACAUCGGCUGACUGACCAAAUGACAAAGCAAUUUCAUUUGGAAAACAUUAAAAAAAAAGACGACACAUGCACUUCAUGCACAUUGCUGUGUAGAAAGAUACCCUAUAUUCUUAUAUGUCAGCUGCAGAAACUCAAGGGUAUACAAGACCAUUUCCAUGUUUAGAUUCAUCUUGAGUAUAAGAUAUAAAUGUAGCCAAAUGUCGAGUGCCAGAUUGAUUACCCCGAAAUGUCAGCGGACAAUGUCUGGCCAUCUGUUGUGGUUACAGGGUAUACGCUCAAGUUUUUUAUUUGCCCGCCAGCUCGUAUAAUUAUGGAACACUUAGCGCUUGGCCAGACAACAAGCAAUUGCCAAAUGGUCGCUGUGGUCGAGAUACCGCAACAAAAAGCAAAACAUUUAAAUUAACCACGACUCACAACAACAUGAAAUGAAAUCAAAUACUGCACCGUUAAAUAAAAUGUAA